UGGUCAGAUUAAUCGAGCCACACUUGAGCCUAGGCAUUCAUUUGUUGAAUGCACUUGGUAUAGUCAUGUUAAUGGUUGGACCUAACUAGGAUUUUCAGUGGAGGUGCCACACGCCUGCUGAAGAGAUGCCAAGGGCAAAAUAUAAUUGCUAGAAAUUAUUUUGAUGAAAUAAUUGGUUAAGAACAUACCCAUGGAUGCACUAGGAUUGUUCGAGUUAUACUCGGAUCCGAAUAUAGUUUGUAUAGAUUCUAGUACCUACUAAGGGAUAAAUGUAAUUCUUCGAAUUGGAGCUAGAGACUACCAAUUCAUAUAAAAUAGUGGGAGGAC
rnacentral:lncRNA from 1 species